CCAUGGACGUAAGUCUUGUUUGGGUAAUGGAAUCUUACUGAGUUGUAUACUGCUUUAAUUGUUUUGGAGUUUGGGUUUCUGCAUUUUCUCAAUGUUUUGUCAUGAUUGCCAAUGUUUUGUCAUGAUUGCCAAUGUUUAAGUAUGCAUUGUGUAUGUUUUACCUUUUCCUACCAGGCCAACUAGUGAAUUUCCACAUCCUUUGUCCCGUGUCAAGCAAACAACUGGAUAUAGGGUGAGUCCUCUG
rnacentral:lncRNA from 1 species